UUAGUCUUACCUUUCAUGAAACUCAACUGAUUUGAGGUAUCUGAUUAAGGCCACCUUAAAAAGUCUGGGAGAUUUCUAGAACAUUUUUAGUUUGAUGAGAUGGAAAGUUGACCAAAUGCUCCUACAGAAUGCCAGAUUGCAUUGCAGUAAAAAGACAAAUCAUUGAGACAGAUAGAUACCUCAUGACUAGUAUGAUUUUCCAAAUAAUCUUAUAUAAGUGAUUUCUAAUAAAUCAUACAGAUAGGACUUCACAGUGAAAUUGCAAAUGACUUUAAAAAACAAGCAUAAUGAUGACAGCCCAAACAUCUGUUGGUUUUGAGAGUAAAUCUUCCUAUUUUGGAACUGGCAUUUAAGCAUCAGGAGAUGGGGCUUGAUAGAACUUCAGAGGAUUACUAGAUAAACAACAGAACAUCUAACUCCUUGGCUCCUGUGUUAAUUAGAAGCAACUGACAUCAGGGCUGUGGUUCUCUCUCUAGUUUCACAUGUACUUAUAUGUACCUGGUUUGACCACAAACACACACAGAGUAGAUGCCAGAGGACAGAGAGCUUGGCACUCUAGGAUGUGUUAUUGGUGAUGAUUGCCCUCUGUGACUUAACUUCCUGCUUUUGACUCUCGACACUUGUCUGAACCUUCCUGUUGUGGCUGAUUUCCCAGGCACAUGAAUGUCUGACUCAAGCUCUUCAUUGGCUCCCUCCAACUCACUGUAUCAUCUUUGAACUCCACCAUUAGAGAUCUGGACUCAUACCUAGCUCUGCUCUCAGUUGGACAUUUGGUCUUUGUCUCCUCUGUCAAACCAGCCCUGCAUUCAGUAAUUUCCUAUUAUCUUUAUUUAUUCAGUCACUUUAAUUUCACAUUUAAAACUUUUCCCAUUUUCUUGUGGAAUUUCACAGAAUUCUUUCCAAAUGUGGUUUUUAAGACCUUAACUCUUCAUUAGUACUAUGUAAGAGCAGGCUAUGUGAGAAGCCAGUGUGAAAACCGUUGGAACAAAUAAGUACCAAUUGUGCAUGUGUGCUAAGUUGUGUCAGUCAUGUCCAAUUGUUUACAACCCUAUAGACUGUAGUCUGCCAAACUCCUCUGUCCAUGGGAUUCUCCAGGCAAGAAUACUAGAGUGGAGGAGCCAUGUCCUCCUCCUGGAAAUCCUCCUGAUCCAGGGAUCGAACCUGUGUCUCUUAUACCUUUUGCAUUGGAGUUGAGUUCUUUACUACUGGUGCCACCUGGUCAAUCAGUAAGCAUAUCCUGCUCCACAGGGCAAAGGGUCAAGGUUAGGGAGGCAGUGAAGUGAGGCAAGUUGACCUCUUCUGAAGGGAAGGACAGGAGUGACAUGGGCACAUAGGGGCCUUAUGUGACCAAGAAUCUUCCGGUCUCUGAAGUGAUGAGAUAUAGAAACUCCAAAGGUCCAGAGAUGUGAUAGGGCUGAAAUGAUAGGGCUUUUAUUUACUCUAGAGCAAACCAGGAACAGUACUAUUCUUUUAUUUGCACUUGAAAGGUAAAGUACAAGACAGACCCCACUGUUUUGAUGCCUGGUGAUGUCACUGAAAGUUCUAGGAUCAUCUCCAAGAAGAUUGAAGAUGAGCACAACAAUCGAGAAUCCUAAGGGGCUGGAUGGGAAACUGGAAAAGGUGUGGUUCUCAAUGUGUAGUCCCCAGACCUGAAGCAACACCUGGGACCUUUAGAAAUGCAAAUUCCUGGAUCCACCCCAGGCUCACUGAGUCAGGAACUUGCUAACAAAUUUAAUAGAAUUCAUUUAUUUUAUAAAUAAAUGAGAUUUAAUAAAAUCAUAUUUUAAUAGACUUCUAGUGUACACUAAAGUUUGAGUCUGACUAGUCAAAUUGCUUUGCUUUAUCAUUUUGAUAUAAAUUUUUAAAUUAUUCAAAUCAUUCAAGCAAAGUAGUAUAUACAAACUACAACAUUACAUAAAAUUUGGAAGACAGAAAUUUAGAUGUAAACUCAACUGAAGUAUGAACAUGUUUGUUCCUUUUCUUUAGUAAUUUUUUUUCCUCAAAUACACGUGUUUUCAUGGCAUUGUAAUCAGAAGACACACACAAUUAGGUAUGGUACUUUUGUCCCACUUAGCCUUGGAAUGAAAAUACUUAGUGUGCCACUUUUAUAUCAUCAUAAGUAGGGGUCCUCAACCUCUGGGCCGCAGACUGGUACCUCCUGUCUGAUCAGCGGCGACAUUAGAUUAGAAUAGUGCGCAAUAAAUGUCUAUGCUUGAAUCAUCCUGAAACCACCUCCUCCCACCCCAGUCCGUGAAAAGCUGUCUUCCAUGAAGCUGGUCCCUGGUGACAUAAAAGGUUGGGGACCGCUGGUCGUAAGAACUAUUUUUAGUAGUUCCACAAUACGUUAUCUAAAAGCUGUGCCAAAGCGUACCUCGCCAGGACCCUGAAGGUGAACUGGCACACAUGGAGGAGAAAGUGCUGGGGCAGACAAGGAGGCCUCCCCUUCUCUGUACUUCCUCCCGCCCCUCCCCCCAGAUCCCGCAGAAACAUCCAAACUAUGAGUGUUUCUGGAAAUAGUCAUAAGCAGAGAGGAAAGCGACGUCAGUCAGUAGCCUUGAGUUUUCCAGAGGUAUCCAGAAACACAGGUUUUCUCUUACCUAGAUCCUUUCCUGAAACUCUGAGGCUGCCAAGACGUUGCCACGCUACCUCGUGGCAACAUCCAAGAAUGACACCUUCUCUUGAGAAGUACGGCUGCCCCCUGACCUGAAUCCAGGUCCUAAGCCGGGUGCCUGAGUGUCAGCAGCUGGGGCACCUGUUGUCUACCUUAACAGAGACACCCCACUCUCCGCAGGACUAGCUGGGCUCUGACCCUGGGGCUAGAGUCUGGCCAGGAUCCUCAGCAUGUCUGGCAGGGGUUCAGAUGUUUUACCUGCUCCUGGCCAGCCCCCUGCCCUAGUGGGCUGGACUGCAAUCCCUGGCUGACAGGGCCCCACUCUAAAAUGAACACUCUUCUAAGAACCAGCAUACAGCUAUGAGAAAUGCUGUGCCUCAUGUCCUACGUGGACCUCAGGGAUGUCAGAGACACCCCAGGCUGAGGUCAAGGUGGUCACGUGCCCUUGGAGAAUGUAAGUGGAACUGCUCAGCCGUGUCUUGUGCACCAGGCCUAAAAUUGGGCAAGUCUCUGCCCCAGCCCUGCUUCUCUUUCCCCUCCCCCUGCUGACUCAUCUGCAGGGACACAGCAUGCCUCAUAGCAGUGUGGCAGCUGGUAUGGAAAACAGGGCAGUGGUGGGAAUCUUGUCCACCUGGCCCAGAAUUAAAUGUGGCUUCAAGUCCUGAGCCCCUUGUGAAAGGCGAGCAGGGUAGGAGAUGGCUUGUGGUCCUGUCUCCCCAAACUUCUCCUCUCUGGGUACCAUGCCCUCAGGAGGGCUCCAGACUGGCUCAGCCACAGGGCAGGAAGUCUGGCAGUGUGGUGGGAGGGGCUCUAGCAGAGGGCAGGCACGAUUUCACAAGAGUUCUAUGGACUGACUUUCUGCUGAUUCUACUUAUCAUGCACUCGCCUGGGUGAGUUCCAUCUCUGGAUCCCACCUCGGAUGUUACUCGUGAUUGACCUUUCCUGCAGUUGUGGAGGCCUGUUAGGAGUUUGCAGGCCCCACUGGGGAUGUAAUUCUGGGCUUCGCGAGCUUGUGGGGAUGGGUGGAAGUGGUCUCUCGAGGGACAGCAAAUCCAGGACAGAUCUAAUUGCUGCUAAUCAGGUUGUUUUUUAAUUUUUUUCUUUUACGUAUAAAUACUUAAAACACACACAUGCAUACAGAUUCCAUGGCCUUAAAAGUCUUUAUCGAUCUUUACAUAUACUUAUAAUCCCUAGUGAUAUACAAGUAUAUGAAUUUUUUUAUCGUAGUUGUGAUUCAAUAUAUAAUUUAUUUAGUCCUGUUUUCUCCCCCACUUUAUCGCAUAUAAAAUUUCCUCAUACUUGUUUUUAAAAGCUGCAAGACCAAUUGUUAUGUAACCUUUUGGAGGUCACCGAUCUCUUUGAUAAUUUGCCACUGUAAGUGCCUAAGUGUCAGCAGCAAGGCUUUUAUUUCAGAU